GCCCCAGUAGCCCAAUGGCAGAGGCAUCAGACUUAAAAUCUGCAAAGUGUCGGUUCGAGUCCGACCUGGGGUACCG
rnacentral:tRNA from 1 species